rnacentral:sRNA from 2 species
CUGAUAUUGAGACGGACGCCCAGCUUAGGGAAGCGCGAUACCAGCCGGAUACCAGCACGGCUAAAGACCCGAAUCUGGUUCAAUGGGAGGGGCCCUCCGACCCAGGAAACCCUAUGAACUGGAGUCUCGCGAGGAAGUGGUAUGUCACCAUUGCCAUUUCGUGUGUUGCAUUCCUUGCCAUGUUCUCCAGCAGUGUUUUUGCCCCAGCCACCGGAUACACUGCAGAGGAGUAUCAUGUUUCAGAGUUGGUCAUGACGCUGGGGACGAGCCUUGUUCUAUUCGGAUUUGCUUUCGGACCAUUGAUAUGGGCCCCGUUAUCCGAAGUGUACGGCCGAAUGACGCCUCUAUGGAUCGGCUUCGUUGGAUUCACCAUCUUCCAAAUACCCG